rnacentral:rRNA from 1 species
AGAGUUUGAUCCUGGCUCAGAACUAACGCUGGUGGCGUGUCUUACUCAUGCGAGUCGAACGCGAAAGCUCCCUUCGGGGGGCGAGUAGAGCGGCGAACGGGUGAGUAACGCGUGGGUAAUCUACCUCCGAGUUGGGGAUAACACUCCCAACGGGGUGCUAAUACCGAAUCCGAUGCGGUGGUUUCGGCCCUCCCAUGAAAGAUGGCCUCUGCUUGCAUGCUGUCGCUCGGAGAUGAGCCAGCGUCCUAUUAGCUUGUUGGUGGGGUAAUGGCCUACCAAGGCGACGAUGGGUAGCCGGCCUGAAAGGGUGAACGGCCACACUGGCACUGAAACAAGGGCCACUCCCCUACGGGGGCCAACAGUCUAGAAAUUUGCACAAUCGCCGAAAGGCGGAUGCAGCGACGCCACGUGGAGGAUGAAGUCCUUCGGGUCGUAAACCCCUUUCACCGGGACGAAAUUGACGGUACCUGCAGAAGAAGCGCCGGCCAACUACGUGCCAGCAGCCGCGGUAAUACGUAGGGCGCAAGCGUUGUCCGGAUUCAUUGGGCGUAAAGGGCUCGUAGGCGGUUUGGUAAGUCGGGUGUGAAAACUCAGGGCUCAACUGUGAGACGCCACUCGAUACUGCCAUGACUAGAGUCCGGUAGAGGAGUGUAGAAUUCCUGGUGUAGCGGAGAAAUGAGCAGAUAUCAGGAGGAAUACCGAUAGCGAAGGCAGCACUCCGGGCCGGUACUGACGAUGAGGAGAGAAAGCGUGGGGAGCAAACAGGAUUAGAUACCGUGGUAGUCCACGCCGUAAACGUUGGGCAGUAGGUGUGGGUCUCAUCCAACGGGAUCCGUGCCGUAGCUAACGCAUUAAGUCCCCCGCGUGGGGAGUACGGCCGCAAGAAUAAAACUCAAAGGAAUUGGCGGGGGCCCGCACAAGCGGCGGAGCAUGUUACUUAAUUCGAGGCAACGGGACGAACCUUACCUGGGUCUGACAUGUUGGGGACAGCCGCAGAGAUGCGGCCCCUUUAUGGUCCCAUCACAGGUGGUGCAUGGCUGUCGUCAGCUCGUG